GAUGAACGCUGGCGGCGUGCCUAAUACAUGCAAGUCGAGCGAACGGACGAGAAUCUUGCUUCUCUGAUGUUAGCGGCGGACGGGUGAGUAAUACGUGGCUAACUUACCUAUAAGACUGGGAUAACUUCGCGAAACCUGAGCUAAUACCGGAUAAUAUUUUGAACCGCAUGGUUCAAAAGUGAAAGACGUUCUUGCUGUCACUUAUAGAUAGAUCCGCGCUGCAUUAGCUAGUUGGUAAGGUAACGGCUUACCAAGGCAACGAUGCAUAGCCGACCUGAGAGGGUGAUCGGACACACUGGAACUGAGACACGGUCCAGACUCCUACGGGAGGCAGCAGUAGGGAAUCUUCCGCAAUGGGCGAAAGCCUGACGGAGCAACGCCGCGUGAGUGAUGAAGGUCUUCGGAUCGUAAAACUCUGUUAUUAGGGAAGAACAUAAGUGUAAGUAACUGUGCCCAUCUUGACGGUACCUACACAGAAAGCCCCGGCUAACUACGUG
rnacentral:rRNA from 1 species